rnacentral:lncRNA from 1 species
UAUCAUAUUUCAAAUUAUUUGAAAUCAUACCAUAAUGAAAUCACUUUUGAAUUCAUACCAUAUAUCAGCCUCUUUUCAAUUCAUAUUAUAUUAAAAAUAGGGAUAAUUGCCUAUAUACCCCUCAUACGUUUGAAAAUAUCCGAUUUACCCCUUUUUUUUUCUUUCUAAAAUAUCCUUCAUAUGUCCCACUGUUAUUGAAAAAUAUCCUCGCAGUUAUCUCCUGUUAAGUUAACUUGGGUUAAACGUGAGUUAAAUAUAUACCACGAUUAAAAAAAAUUAAAAUACCAAUUUUGCCCUUAACUUAAGUGCAAAUAAGAAAUGUUGGUGACUGUAGGGAGUAUAUUGGAAAAGACCAAAAGUCAAAAUACUUUUUGUGCCCCUGACUUUAAGGGCAGAUAAGAAAGUCAGUGAUGGUGGAAGGGUAUAUUUGAAAGGGCAAAAUAGUAAUUUUAUAGAGAUAACAGAGUUCAUUAACAGAUUUUAACUCUAGGAGUAUAUUAGAAAUAGGUUAGAACGUAGAAAGGAUAUUUUCAAUAUUAGUCUUCUAAGAGAGUAGAUCGAAAAGUCGAAAACUUUUCAGGGGUAUAUAAGCAAUUGCCCCUUAAAAAUAAUGACUAAUUUAACAUUAAGAUCAAAUCAAACCCAUGUGGUUGAUUGGUCAGCUUGAUUUGGUUGAUCGGCUCAAACCCAAUAAAAUUGCAAAGAGGUCCUCCAAAAUAUUAUUGUAGUACUUGCAUCCAAUUUAGUACAAUUUGAUCUGAUUUGGAUCAUU